GAACGAACGCUGGCGGCAUGCCUAACACAUGCAAGUCGAACGAGACCUUCGGGUCUAGUGGCGCACGGGUGCGUAACGCGUGGGAACCUGCCCUUAGGUUCGGAAUAACUCCCCGAAAGGGGUGCUAAUACCGGAUAAUGUCUUCGGACCAAAGAUUUAUCGCCUUUGGAUGGGCCCGCGUUGGAUUAGCUAGUUGGUAGGGUAAAAGCCUACCAAGGCGACGAUCCAUAGCUGGUCUGAGAGGAUGAUCAGCCACACUGGGACUGAGACACGGCCCAGACUCCUACGGGAGGCAGCAGUGGGGAAUAUUGGACAAUGGGCGAAAGCCUGAUCCAACAAUGCCGCGUGAGUGAUGAAGGCCUUAGGGUUGUAAAGCUCUUUUACCCGGGAUGAUAAUGACAGUACCGGGAGAAUAAGCUCCGGCUAACUCCGUG
rnacentral:rRNA from 1 species